GCCAUGUGUGGUGAUGCGCACCUGUAGUCCCAGCUACUCUGGAGGCUGAGGUGUGAGGAUCACUUGAACCCAGGAGUUCGAGGCUGCAGUGAGCCAUGAUCAUGCCACUGCACUCCAGCCUGGGUGACAGAGUGAGACCUUGUCUCAA
rnacentral:SRP_RNA from 1 species